rnacentral:rRNA from 1 species
AACUACGUGCCAGCAGCCGCGGUAAUACGUAGGGGGCUAGCGUUAUCCGGCUUUACUGGGCGUAAAGGGUGCGUAGGCGGGCUGUCAGGUCGGGAGUGAGAGGCUACGGCGCAACCGUAGUAAGCUCUUGAAACUGGGAGACUUGAGUGGAGGAGAGGAGAGUGGCAUUCCUAGUGUAGCGGUGAAAUGCGUAGAUAUUAGGUGGAACACCAGUUGCGAAGGCGGCUCUCUGGACUGGAACUGACGCUGAGGCACGAAAGCGUGGGGAGCAAACAGGAUUAGAUACCCUGGUAGUCCACGCUGUAAACGAUGAGUACUAGGUGUCGGGGGUUACCCCCUUCGGUGCCGCAGCUAACGCAUUAAGUACUCCGCCUGGGAAGUACGCUCGCAAGGGCGAAACUCAAAGGAAUUGACGGGGACCCGCACAAGUAGCGGAGCAUGUGGUUUAAUUCGAAGCAACGCGAAGAACCUUACC